ACUUCCCGACAGCCCCCGCGCAUCUCUGUGGCAGCUGCCCUGGUGCUUCCCGCCCCGCCGCGCCCGCCCACCCAACGGCGCUGUGUCCCGCCGGUAGCUCAGCGGGGACUUCCUUUAUGUGGUACAGGGUUGGGCCUGGAGACCCGGAUGCCGGCGAGGUCCUGGCUGGGAGAGGCCGCCGCUGCCUUCAGGUUUCCGAGUAAUACACAGCCGUGUCCUCAGCUCUCAGGCUGUUCAUUUGAAGAUGCAGCGUGUUCUUGGAAUUGUCUCUGGAGAUGGUGAAUCUGCCCUUCCUGGAGUCUGCGUAGUAUGUGCUACCACCACUAAUGGAUGAGACCCACUCCAGACCCUUCCCUGGAGCCUGGCGGACCCAGCUCAUCUCAUUGCUACUGACGGUGAAUCCAGAGGCUGCACAGGAGAGUCUCAGGGACCCCCCAGGCUGUACCAAGACUCCCCGAGACUCCACCAGCUGCACCUCACACUGGACACCUGCAAACACAGAGACACCAAGGUCAGAAACUGCCACACAUACCCACUGUUUUGCUCACUCAUGUCCACUCACACUCAACAUCUGUAGUUCUCCAUGAAUCAUCUUUUAAAAUAGCAACAAGGAAAACCCAGCUCAGCACAAACUGCAUGAUGAGUUCUGUAUGUUCAGUCCUGAUCACUGAAUGAAAACACCUGGGAAUCCCAAGGCUGGGGCUCCACUCCCAGAGCUGCAGGGUCAGGGCUGGGCUGGUUUUCAUCAGGAGAGGGAAGGCCCUAUUUGCAUGUCUCCUACUACAUAGCAAGCUCAGGGGUGGGACGCCUGAGGAGAGGGCAGGGCCAAGAGCAGAUGAGAGCGUCCUGGGGGAUUUUGGUGACAAUGAUUGUAUUUGGGAAAAUGCUGCCUUAUUUUGAAAUUGUUCUGUGAUAAACAUUUAACAACUAUCACAUUUUUAAUUAUUUUUACCUAUGUGUAUAAAUUAUGUUAUUUAAGAGUCAGUGGUUUCUUCAUUUACAGAUGUAAAAGUGAACCUACACGUGGAAGGGCUAUGUAUGUGUUCAUGGGUUUAUAUCUGGCAUGAGUGAGUCCCAGUAUCUGGGCCUAUGCUCCUCACAACUGGCCUCAAUUGCUCUCUGAACCAACUCUAGGACAGAGCUAAAUGGGCCUAGUGUGGUUUGCAGAAUCCACUUCCUGUCAUGAGAACCUGUGUAAUUUUCCUGCAUUUACCUAAAAAUACAGAGACAACUAGGCGUCAGGCAGAUAAAUAUUUGGUGUAUAUGAUAUUUAACAUAUUUAUUUGUUCCUUCCUAUCAUCCCUUUUUUGUCUAAGUUUUUAGCUGUUUACUUGCAAUAAAUUUUAUGAGUUUUAAUUGACAGAUAAUAAAAUUCACAUAUUUACCCUGUACAAUAGUAAACUUUGAAAAAAAUCUCUAUUUUAAAGAAGGUGACAAGUCAACUCUCCUCAGCAUUUCUCUUGGUCUAUUAUUUUUUUUGGUUUUUCUCCUUCCUUCUUCUACCAUUUCCUUAUAAAACUACUGAUGUUUUCAUAUUUCUUUAUACUAGCUUUUAUUUUCUAGAAUUUAUAAGAAUGAAUAAUAUGAUAUGUACUGUUAUCUAUUUGGCUUAUUUUUCUCAAUAGAAAUAGUGGAAAUUAAACCUUUUAUGUUGUAUGUGUUUCUCAUAAAUACUGGGUAGCAUUUCAGCAAACAAAUGUAGCAUAAUUUGUUUUUCUAUUAAGUUGCUAAUUGGUAUUUGAAUUAUUCAUUACUCUGGGUCUUAAUAAUAAAUAUGCUACUCAGUUUGGUAA